UACGGGGGGGGGCAAGCGUUGUUCGGAAUUACUGGGCGUAAAGGGCUCGUAGGCGGCCAACUAAGUCAGACGUGAAAUCCCUCGGCUUAACCGGGGAACUGCGUCUGAUACUGGAUGGCUUGAAUCCGGGAGAGGGAUGCGGAAUUCCAGGUGUAGCGGUGAAAUGCGUAGAUAUCUGGAGGAACACCGGUGGCGAAGGCGGCAUCCUGGACCGGCAUUGACGCUGAGGAGCGAAAGCCAGGGGAGCAAAGCGGG
rnacentral:rRNA from 1 species